CACAGUGUAUUAUUAUUUUUAUAGCGAUACAAAAAUAGAUAUGUAAAGCGUUAUCAUUUCAUGAACUCGAUACGAUCUUAAAAAUUCUGAGUGUACAAAAGAAACAAUGAGAAUGGGUAAUAACCGAUUUAUCUUAUUACACUAGAAACCAGACUAGACGAUUUAAUCAGAAUUCUGAAGAAUAGAUUAUGGUUUAUUUAACUUGACACGUCUGUAUAGAACUUACUGGCAUUUUCAAGGUUUCAUCUUUCAUAAUUUACCAAUAAUAUACCGUUACUAAAACAUUGGAUGUGUUCAAUCUCAGACAGAUAUGGUUUCCGGAUACCUUUUUGUUAGAUGUCAAAAAAGGAAUCCAAAGGCAUCCAAGAAUUUCUGGGCCUUAUGUAUCUGUCGGGAAAUGUUCUGUACAUAACAGACGAUGAAGAAGCUAUUUCCCUCCGAAUUUUAGAAGGUAAUUAUGAUCCAGCUCCGAGACCAAAAAACCCGGCGAAGAACAAUUCUUAAAGAAAAAAUGAAUAAGAAAUAAAAUAAAAAAAUAUAAAUAAGAUUAAAUGUUUCUCUGCUUUUGGUGAACAGGUGAAAGUUA